ensembl:snoRNA
ACUGCUCCUAGGGGCGUUGCAGCGUGGCCACCCCAGCACAGCUAUGUCAUUAGAGGGCAGAGAGAAGAGGGGCUAUGUCUAGGCUCAGGGUACGUGAACCACCUGGCUGGCUGCUAGCCCCACAGU